CCACAUUUUGAAAUAACAAAAUUUCCCGUGAACCGGAAAUCCCACGUUUCAGCCAGCUCUAACAAAGAUGCAAGAGAGAGGCCUGAACGUGCGGUCAAGUGCACCCGAGAGGUUUGGAAACCAGAAGUCAAACAAAAGACCCCAAAUGUACAAUUAUUUUGCAGGUCCCGUCAGCCCAGGGAGUGCCACUGUUGUCAGUGAAGCGCAGCGGAAACUGUCCAUCUGUCUGAAUUAAACAGCGCGGACGUGCUGAUCCAUGGAGGGCUAGAUUCUGCAUCUCCAGCCUCCUGGUUGAGCUGGUCCAGUCUCAGCUGCCAUGUCAGUCCUUGGUGGUCCCAUCCCUCCCUGAGCUGGCUGCAAAAUGAAGAUAAGCGCUGGACCGGGAGCCAUAUAAUAAUAAUACUUCGUGCUAGAGUGGGUCAGAAAUGGGUGUCCCUCCCGCACCCCCACGACAGGAAAAUUUAGACUUUUUGUUGAAACAUCAAAAACCGCAAAAGAGAAUGUGGCUGAAAACUGCUAAAAAAAAAAAAAAUGAGGGGGAGAAAUAGGGUUUUGUGUUCAUUUUUCCAACCAACCAAAUAAAUAAAUCCACAUUUUUUUCUGUAAAAAGAAGAACAGGAGGACUUGUGGCACCUUAGAGACUAACAAAUUUAUUAGAGCAUAAGAAUUUUUUUCUGUAGAGACUUCCAUUUAGUCAAAAACCCAAUUUCCCAUCCAAAGACGUUCCAGCUGAAAACUUUCACCCACCCCUGCACAGCUCUUACAAAUCACCUUUUAUCCCUGGAUCUCGGAGUGCUGACUCUGAGAAUUAGUUUGCCCAGUCCAAUGCAUCCUAUGCGUCUUCAUUCCUAUGCUGUUCAAUCCAUGAGUAAAUCUGUUUAUUUGUGAUUAUAUUUGCAUUCCAGUAGGAGUUAGAGGCCCCAGCCUCACGUACUAGGUGUUGCACACAGGUAAUCCCUCCUCUGUUUGCUUUUUCUGCUCUCUGUUAAUGUCCGUCUUCAUUUGACCCUGCAAGUCAGUGGAAGUGAAUAAGCCACAGGAUUGACUACAUGGUGUCAGUUUACUCAUGGAUAAAACUGAACUGAGGCUCUGAACUGAACCUGCGUUCUAAUCCUAGCUCUGACUUUAGGAAAGUCACUUCACCUCCCUGGUCCUCAGUUUCCUCAUCUUUAAAAUCAGGUAAUGAUUCUGCUCUCCUUUGUAAAGUGCUUUGAGAUC